UGAGGAAUAUUGGUCAAUGGGCGCAAGCCUGAACCAGCCAUCCCGCGUGCAGGAUGACGGCCCUAUGGGUUGUAAACUGCUUUUAUACAGGAAGAAAAAUCCCUACGAGUAGGGACCUGCCGGUACUGUAUGAAUAAGCAUCGGCUAACUCCGUGCCAGCAGCCGCGGUAAUACGGAGGAUGCAAGCGUUAUCCGGAUUCAUUGGGUUUAAAGGGUGCGUAGGCGGCUUUUUAAGUCAGUGGUGAAAUCCUGCCGCUUAACGGUAGAAUUGCCAUUGAUACUGAAGAGCUUGAGUACAAUUGAGGUAAGCGGAAUGUGUAGUGUAGCGGUGAAAUGCUUAGAUAUUACACAGAACACCAAUUGCGAAGGCAGCUUACUAAACUGUUACUGACGCUGAUGCACGAAAGCGUGGGGAGCGAACA
rnacentral:rRNA from 1 species